CUCCUGGGAAGUCCUCAUGUUGCAUCCCU
rnacentral:rRNA from 1 species